rnacentral:rRNA from 1 species
ACGAACGCUGGCGGCGUGCUUAACACAUGCAAGUCGAGCGGUGAAGCACCUUCGGGUGUGAAUUAGCGGCGAACGGGUGAGGAACACGUGAAGAAUCUGCCUUCAACUCUGGGAUAACUCCGGGAAACCGGGGCUAAUACCGGAUAUGAGCCUUGAUCGCAUGAUCGGGGCUGGAAAGUUUUUCGGUUGAAGAUGACUUCGCGGCCUAUCAGCUUGUUGGUGAGGUAAUGGCUCACCAAGGCGACGACGGGUAGCCGGCCUGAGAGGGCGACCGGCCACACUGGGACUGAGACACGGCCCAGACUCCUACGGGAGGCAGCAGUGGGGAAUAUUGGGCAAUGGAGGAAACUCUGACCCAGCGACGCCGCGUGAGGGAUGAAGGCCUUCGGAUUGUAAACCUCUUUCAGUAGUGAAGAGGCGAAAGUGACGGUACCUACAGAAGAAGCACCGGCUAACUAUGUGCC